rnacentral:lncRNA from 1 species
GUGCGGGAUCGACUUACCAAUAAGAGCUGAUACAUUCCUUCCCAUGCUAAUCCUUUCAUCGCCCUUCAUCUUCCUCUUGUGGGUGCACAACUUCUUCAGAAAUUUGGCAUACUUGGGUAUCUGUUUGAUAGCAUCGAGUAGAGGUAUGUUCACCUCUACUUUCCUGAAGGUCUCCAGAAUUUCCCUAUCCACCUCUUCAGUCUUUUUGUUGGGAAG